UACGAAGGGGGCUAGCGUUGCUCGGAAUCACUGGGCGUAAAGCGCACGUAGGCGGAUUGCUAAGUCAGGGGUGAAAUCCUGGAGCUCAACUCCAGAACUGCCUUUAAUACUGGCGACCUUGAGUCCGGGAGAGGUGAGUGGAACUGCGAGUGUAGAGGUGAAAUUCGUAGAUAUUCGCAAGAACACCAGUGGCGAAGGCGGCUCACUGGCCCGGUACUGACGCUGAGGUGCGAAAGCGUGGGGAGCAAACAGG
rnacentral:rRNA from 1 species